rnacentral:rRNA from 1 species
AAUGGACUCAAAUCAGGUAGGAUUACCCGCUGAACUUAAGCAUAUCAGUAAGCGGAGGAAAAGAAACUAA